rnacentral:rRNA from 2 species
UUAAACAACUGAGUGGCGAACGGGUGAGUAACACGUGGGUAACCUGCCCCAAAGCGGGGGAUAACAUUUGGAAACAGAUGCUAAUACCGCAUAACCACAGAAACCACAUGGUUUCUGUGUCAAAGAUGGUUUCGGCUAUCACUUUGGGAUGGACCCGCGGCGUAUUAGCUAGUUGGUAAGGUAAUGGCUUACCAAGGCAAUGAUACGUAGCCGAACUGAGAGGUUGAUCGGCCACAUUGGGACUGAGACACGGCCCAAACUCCUACGGGAGGCAGCAGUAGGGAAUCUUCCACAAUGGACGAAAGUCUGAUGGAGCAACGCCGCGUGAGUGAAGAAGGUUUUCGGAUCGUAAAACUCUGUUGUCAGAGAAGAACGUGUGCGAGAGUAACUGUUCGUGCAGUGACGGUAUCUGGCCAGAAAGCCACGGCUAACUACGUGCCAGCAGCCGCGGUAAUACGUAGGUGGCAAGCGUUGUCCGGAUUUAUUGGGCGUAAAGGGAACGCAGGCGGUCUUUUAAGUCUGAUGUGAAAGCCUUCGGCUUAACCGAAGUCGUGCAUU